UCGGUCAAAGUGUAGAGAGUUGUCAACAGUUAUACCGAGAAACUGAAGACCGAUAUAAAUCCAGAAUGGGUAGCAGUAGUAACAAACAUGUAGUUCACAGGUGUAAUGAAGGACAUGAACAUUCAAGUGAAUCAGAAGCUAAGGAUUGUAAUCAACGGGCCCAUGCAAAGCAAACAUUGGAAAAAUGUAAAAGCGUUCAUGGGUGUCGGGAUACUGGCUACCACGUGCAUUCUACACAAGAAUCAGCUGAUCGCUGUGAUGAAUU